rfam:Glycine soja cultivar W05 scaffold3892_71, whole genome shotgun sequence.
UUUUUAUUGGAUAUUAAUCGUCACAUGUAGCGCUUUUAUUAGACGUUAAUUUUGUGUACCUACUUAACAUCAAUGUCCAAUAAAAGUGGAACACGUGACAGUCAACAUCU